GCCACCAUAGCUGGGUGGUUAGAGCACUGGUCUUGUAAGCCAGGAGGAUGAUAACUUCGAUUCUUACUGGUGACU